rnacentral:rRNA from 1 species
UAAUGAGGGAAGGAAAAGAAACUAACAAGGAUUUUCUUAGUAGCGGCGAGCGAAAAGAAAAAAGUUCAUCACUGAGUUAUUUUGUUAAAUUAACAAAUAUAAGAUGCAGUGUAUGGAAUAUCUAUAAUCUAGUAUGAUAAAUUAAUAGUCCAAGUCCUUCUUGAAUGAGGCCAUUUACCCAUAGAGGGUGACAGGCCCGUAGUGACGUUAAUGAUUACUAGAAGAUAUUUCCUAAGAGUCGUGUUGCUUGAUAGUGCAGCACUAAUUUGGUGGUAAACUCCAUCUAAAACUAAAUAUAACCAUGAGACCGAUAGCAAACAAGUACCGUGAGGGAAAGUUGAAAAGAACUCUGAAUAGAGAGUUAAAUAGUACGUGAAACUGCUUAGAGGUUAAACCCGAUGAACCUAAAUAUCCAAUAUGAAAAAUUCAUCAUUAGGAAUAUAUUAAAAUAUUUAAUAUAUAAAUAGUGUGCAAUUUUUUCAUAUAAGGACAUUGUAAUCUGUUAAUAUUAUAUAAAAUUUAUCAUAAGUGCCGUUUGAAUAGUUUAUUUAUUAUUUAAUUUUUAUAAUUAAAUUUAAAUAAAAUUCAAUUUAAAUACGGUUACAAAUAAAUUGUUGACAGAUUUUUUACAUAUAUAGCGCUUACAUUAUAUAUGUUAUAAUAAAAUGAUAAUAAAUUAUUAUUGUUUUUAUUAUAUGCGUUUAUAUGAUUAACAAUGCGAUAGAUUUAGGAUACCUUCGGGACCCGUCUUGAAACACGGACCAAGAAGUCUAACAUAUGUGCAAGUCAUUGGGUAUAUUAAAACUUAAAGGCGUAAUUAACUUAACUGUUUAAAUGGGAUCAAUAUAUGUAUUAAUAAAUAAAACAUAAAUUCCAUCCCGGGGCGUUCUAUAUAGUUAUGUAUUUUAAUAUUUUUAUAUUAUAUAUGCCUCUAACUAGAGCGUACCUUGAGCAUAUAUGUUGUGACCCGAAAGAUGGUGAACUAUACCUGAUCAGGUUGAAGUCAGGGGAAACCCUGAUGAAUGACCGAAACAGUUCUGACGUGCAAAUCGAUUGUCAGAAUUGGGUAUAGGGGCGAAAGACCAAUCGAACCAUCUAGUAGCUGGUUCCCUCCGAAGUUUCCCUCAGGAUAGCUGGUGCAUUUAAAAAUUAUAUAAAAUAAUCUUAUCUGGUAAAGCGAAUGAUUAGAGGCCUUAGGGCCGAAACGACCUUAACCUAUUCUCAAACUUUAAAUGGGUAAGAACCUCACCUUUCUUGAUAUGAAGGUUGAGGUUAUGAUAUAUUGUGCCCAGUGGGCCACUUUUGGUAAGCAGAACUGGCGCUGUGGGAUGAACCAAACAUGAUGUUACGGUGCCUAAAUUAACAACUCAUACUGAUACCAUGAAAGGCGUUGUUUGCUUAAAACAGUAGGGCGGUGGACAUGGAAGUCGUAAUCCGCUAAGGAGUGUGUAACAACUCACCUGCCGAAGCAACUAGCCCUUAAAAUGGAUGGCGCUCAAGUUGUAUACCUAUACAUCAUCGCUAAAGCAUAUGAUUAAUAAAUUUAAUUUAUUAAUUUUGAAGCUUUAGUGAGUAGGAGGGUAUAAUGGUGUGCGUAGAAGUGUUUGGCGUAAGCCUGCAUGGAGCCGCCAUUAGCACAGAUCUUGGUGGUAGUAGCAAAUAAUCGAAUGAGACCUUGGAGGACUGAAGUGGAGAAGGGUUUCGUGUGAACAGUGGUUGAUCACGAGUUAGUCGGUCCUAAGUUCAAGGCGAAAGCCGAAAAUUUUUUAGUUAUCAAUUGAUAUACUAUAAAAAAUAUUGAACGAAAGGGAAUACGGUUCCAAUUCCGUAACCUGUUAAGUAUACGUUUGUUAUUAAAAAUGGGCUUUAUAUGCUCAUCCUGGCAACAGAAACAACCAUAAAGAAGCCGUCGAGAGAUAUCGAAAGAGUUUUCUUUUCUGUUUUAUAGUCGUACUACCAUGGAAGUCUUUCGAAGAGAGAUAUGGUGGAUGGACUAGAAGAGCAUGGCAUUUACUGCUGUGUCGAUAUUUUCUCCUCGGACCUUGAAAAUUUAUGGUGGGGUUACGCAAACUUACUUAACAGGCCGUACCGAUAUCCGCAGCUGGU